UACGGAGGGUGCGAGCGUUAAUCGGAAUUACUGGGCGUAAAGCGCGCGUAGGCGGUUUGAUCAGUCCGUCGUGAAAGCCCCGGGCUUAACCUGGGAACUGCGGUGGAUACUGUCGGGCUAGAGUGUGGUAGAGGGGAGUGGAAUUUCCGGUGUAGCAGUGAAAUGCGUAGAGAUCGGAAGGAACACCAGUGGCGAAGGCGGCUCCCUGGACUAACACUGACGCUGAGGUGCGAAAGCGUGGGGAGCAAACAGG
rnacentral:rRNA from 1 species